rnacentral:rRNA from 1 species
UACGUAGGGGGCAAGCGUUGUCCGGAUUUAUUGGGCGUAAAGAGCGUGUAGGCGGCCAGGUAGGUCAGCUGUGAAAACUCGAGGCUCAACCUCGAGACGUCGGUUGAAACCACCUGGCUAGAGUCCGGAAGAGGAGAGUGGAAUUCCUGGUGUAGCGGUGAAGUGCGCAGAUAUCGGGAGGAACACCAAUGGCGAAGGCAGCUCGCUGGGACGGUACUGACGCUGAGACGCGAAAGCGUGGGGAGCAAACAGG